UCCAUUCAAUAUGGCAAAAAA
rnacentral:piRNA from 1 species